rnacentral:rRNA from 1 species
UACGAAGGGGGCUAGCGUUGCUCGGAAUUACUGGGCGUAAAGCGCACGUAGGCGGCUUUCUAAGUCGGGGGUGAAAUCCUGGAGCUUAACUCCAGAACUGCCUUCGAUACUGGAGAGCUCGAGUCCGGGAGAGGUGAGUGGAACUGCGAGUGUAGAGGUGAAAUUCGUAGAUAUUCGCAAGAACACCAGUGGCGAAGGCGGCUCACUGGCCCGGUACUGACGCUGAGACGCGAAAGCGUGGGGAGCGAACAGG